AUUGAACGCUGGCGGCAGGCCUAACACAUGCAAGUCGGACGGUAGCACAGAGGAGCUUGCUCCUCGGGUGACGAGUGGCGGACGGGUGAGUAAUGUCUGGGGAUCUGCCCGAUAGAGGGGGAUAACCACUGGAAACGGUGGCUAAUACCGCAUAACGUCGCAAGACCAAAGAGGGGGACCUUCGGGCCUCUCACUAUCGGAUGAACCCAGAUGGGAUUAGCUUGUAGGCGGGGUAAUGGCCCACCUAGGCGACGAUCCCUAGCUGGUCUGAGAGGAUGACCAGCCACACUGGAACUGAGACACGGUCCAGACUCGUACGGGAGGCAGCAGUGGGGAAUAUUGCACAAUGGGCGCAAGCCUGAUGCAGCCAUGCCGCGUGUAUGAAGAAGGCCUUCGGGUUGUAAAGUACUUUCAGCGGGGAGGAAGGCGGUGAGGUUAAUAACCUUGCCGAUUGACGUUACCCGCAGAAGAAGCACCGGCUAACUCCGUGCCAGCCGCCGCGGUAA
rnacentral:rRNA from 1 species